rnacentral:rRNA from 1 species
AGUGAACGCUGGCGGUAGGCCUAACACAUGCAAGUCGAACGGCAGCACAGUAAGAGCUUGCUCUUACGGGUGGCGAGUGGCGGACGGGUGAGGAAUACAUCGGAAUCUACUUUUUCGUGGGGGAUAACGUAAGGAAACUUACGCUAAUACCGCAUACGACCUACGGGUGAAAGCAGGGGAUCUUCGGACCUUGCGCGAUUGAAUGAGCCGAUGUCGGAUUAGCUAGUUGGCGGGGUAAAGGCCCACCAAGGCGACGAUCCGUAGCUGGUCUGAGAGGAUGAACAGCCACACUGGAACUGAGACACGGUCCAGACUCCUACGGGAGGCAGCAGUGGGGAAUAUUGGACAAUGGGCGCAAGCCUGAUCCAGCCAUACCGCGUGGGUGAAGAAGGCCUUCGGGUUGUAAAGCCCUUUUGUUGGGAAAGAAAAGCAGCAGGUUAAUACCCCGCUGUUCUGACGGUACCCAAAGAAUAAGCACCGGCUAACUUCGUG